GCCAAAAUCUAACUCAAACCCCCCCCCCCCCAUACAUUACAAAUUUUUCUUACUCAAACUAAAACAUUCAACAGAUUUAGUAAAGGCGAUCAAAACAUCCUUUUGAAGUUAUAUUUUAGUACCGCAAGGGAAUGAUGAAAUAAAAAUGAAACAACUUUUAAGCAUUAAAUAGUAGAGCUACUCCCUCGUACCUUUUGCAUCAUGAUUUAACUAGUCAAGCCAAGCAAAAUGAAUUUAAGUUUGCCCCCCCGAAACUAAGCGAGCUACUUCAAGGCAGCUUCAUGAGCCAACCCGUUUCUGUUGCAAAAGAAUGGGAAGACCUUAAAGUAGAGGUGAUAGACCUAACGAGCCUAGUGAUAGCUGGUUACUUAAGAAAAGGAUCUUAGUCCAACCUAAUUUUUAUUUAACACAAUCAAGUAUAUACUAAAUUUUAGAGUAAUUCAAAUAAGGUACAGCCUAUUUGAAACAGGAUACAACCUACACAAAUGGGUAAUUAAACUAAUAAUAAUUAAGUAGGCCUAAAAGCAGCCACCUUUUAAAAAGCGUCAAAGCUUCAUUUCUUAUUAACAAAAUUCCUCUAACUAUUAAAAACCCUUAAUCUGUAUUAAGUAACUCUAUAUAUUUAUAGAAUUUAUUAUGUUAAAACUAGUAACAAGAAUUAAACUUUCUCCUAAAUGCAAGUGUAAAUCAAAUUGGAUAAACCACUGAUUCUUAAUAUUUAUAUAAAUAAAGUAAUAACUAAUCAAGAAAACUUUACUUCACACAAUAUUAACCUAACACAAGAGCAUUCCUGGACAGAUUAAAAGGAAAGGAAGGAACUCGGCAAACAUUAACCUCGCCUGUUUAUCAAAAACAUCGCCUCCUGCUAAUUUAUAGGAGGUCCAGCCUGCCCAGUGACUCUGUUCAACGGCCGCGGUAUCCUAACCGUGCGAAGGUAGCGUAAUCACUUGUUCUUUAAAUAAGGACUAGUAUGAAUGGCAUCACGAAGGUUAUACUGUCUCCCUUUCCAAAUCAAUGAAACUAAUCUUCCCGUGAAGAAGCGGGAAUAAAUUUAUAAGACGAGAAGACCCUAUGGAGCUUUAAACCUCUCAACAACUAUCUUUAUAUACACAUACUCCAGAGCAAUUAAAUUAACCCUGAUAACAUGUCUAUGAGGUUUUCGGUUGGGGUGACCGCGGAACAAAACUCAUCCUCCGCAAUGAAUUAGAACCAUACUUCUAAACAAAGAAUAACAAUUCUAUGUAUCAAAAAACUGACAUAAUUGACCCAACAUUUUGAUCAAUGAACCAAGUUACCCUAGGGAUAACAGCGCAAUCCAUCUCAAGAGCUCAUAUCAACAGAUGGGUUUACGACCUCGAUGUUGGAUCAGGAUAUCCCAGUGGUGCAGCCGCUACUAAAGGUUCGUUUGUUCAACGAUUAAAACCCU
rnacentral:rRNA from 1 species